AUGGCUGUUAGUGGUCAGUCUUUGACCUCCUCAGAUUCUGUGGUGAAAAAGCCUGGAGAAUCAGUGACUCUGUCCUGCACUGUGUCUGGAUUCUCAAUGAGCAGCUAUUACAUGCACUGGAUCCGUCAGAAACCAGGGAAAGCACUGGAGUGGAUUGAAUAUAUAGACACUGGUUCAAGUGCAUAUUUUGCUCAGUCUCUACAGGGACAGUUCUCCAUCACCACAGACACCAGCAAAAACAUGCUGUAUUUAGAGGUGAAAAAAAAUUCUGUUGUGGUGUGUCAAACACUGACUGAGUCUGAGUCAGUGGUCAUUAAACCUGGAGGAUCUCACAAACUCACCUGUACAUUCUCUGGAUUUAGUAGUGACCCAGACUUAGCUUGGAUCAGACAGACUGCAGGAGGAGGUCUGGAGUGGCUGGCAUACAUCUUGUACAUUCUUGGUAGUAGUUAUAUAUUCUACUCUCAGUCUGUUCAGGGACGCUUCACCAUCUGCCAGAGACAACAGCAAGAAACAGAUGUAUCUGCAGAAUGA